rnacentral:ribozyme from 12 species
AAAAAAAAAAAAAAAGGAUCCCAAAAAUCUAUGUUUUUGCUUUUAUGCUCUCACUAUCUGUUUCACUGUGACUUUUACUUUCAACAAUCUGUAACAUC